UCCUCAUCCUCCAUUUGAGAGACAAGAAACCUCCCCGACACAAUUCAUUUCCCUUGUGGGAGUCAAGAGGAUGUUGAGGCUUUGGAAGCUGAGUUAAGUGAUGGUGCGGUUCAAAAUAACCUGGUAAGUUGUACAUUUUACAUUUUCAUGGUUUUACCUGCUGGUUCUCUGCCCCUCUCUAACUGAUCUGCAUACUUACAUGUGACAAUUACUUCCUUCAUGCUUCACAUGUGUGUGUUUCCAUAUCCCACAUACACACCAAAGAUACUCACACCCAUCAUUGUGUGCUCGUCUCAGUACUCAUAACCUCAGAUUCAGCUUCUUUUGAACAUAUAGUAAUUAAAAAUAUUUAAGAGCACCAACCUGAUAUUCAGUUGAAAAGAUUAUUUCAUUAAGGUCCCAGCAGGAACCUCAGAAAGUAACAUGGUGCCUGUAUACUGUGGUUUACAAGUUCUGUUUUACUAGUAAAAUAAGAUAAGUCGACCAAUGGCAGUGAGUUUAAAUCCUCCAACAAAUUUUCAUCUGUUGAGUUGAAACUUUCAUCCUUGAGUAUCAAAGAUAUCAGCCUUUGUAUGCCCAAUUCCCCAAAUUGAAUAGCCAUCUCCUAGGGAUGAGCCAAUAUGUGUAUUAUCAGUAUUUGCCAAUAUCCAAUAAUUCAGUAUCGACCAAUACCAAUACCAAAAUUGAUAUCUGUGCUCUGAUUAAACAGGUGUGAUAAUGCCACUCAGAUAAGGAAGUUUAUCUUACUGGAUGAAGUGCUGCCGACGUAGCCAUCAGCAGCACUGCACUUUCUAAGCUGAACUAUUAGGUAUCACAGAGGAGAGGGUAGGUUGUCCAACAGUGUGACUCAACGAAUCAUCCCAGAUGGAACUGUAUUUGGGGUGUGUCUGUUUCUGUUUCUGAACAUUUUCCAAGAUGAGCUAUCACCAUUACACAUGUUGUGCAGCAGACAGCCAAUCAUAUAUCAGCUAUCAAUACUGGCAGAAUUGCGAUCUUUUGCUGAUACCAAUACCAUGCCGAUAAUCCACUUUGCUUCAAAACAAUGACAGUUGCUACCAGCAGUUGUAUUGACAUUAAUGUUAUAGGGUGUAUGCAUUCUGGAGGUGAAACACGCAAUUUUUCUUUUAUAUCUUUUUGAAAGAGCUCAGAUCUAUGUUAACCAUUUACCCAAAUCAUCAAUCAAAAUGGCCAAAAAAUAAACCAGUGUAAGACUACUACAGCUUGAAAUUUCUUCGGACUCUCUCAGUAAAACCAUAUGGAUAUGGAUAUCUUUAGAACCGGCUCAUCAAGCAACUUUUUUAUUUCAUUUAAUUUGCCACAAAGGCAGUACACAGAGAAGCUACUUCUUACAAUAUCAGUAUCUGUAUGGUUUUGUUGAAAAAUUGUAAGAAUUAUCUUUGAAAAAUGGAGAUAUGCCAGUUUGGCUUUCAGAGUGUUGUGAUUAACCACUAUGCAAAGACACCGAAUGUUAUAUAUGUGAGGAUAACUGCUGGCAGAUCCUCAUGCAGGUACACCUGUGUCCACAUAUAACCCUAAAAAUGAAAAUCGUGCUACAGGCUUUAGCAAUUUCUAAGUCAGGGUUCCCGUUGGUCCUUGAAUUCCUUGAAUACCCUUGAAUUUCAAAAGUAAAAUUCUAAACCUGGAAAGCCCUUGAAAAUUAUCCAGACACACAGAAAUCCUUGAAAAUUUAGGAUUUUUAUUUAAAAGUUUUAUAUCCAGUCUACUCUCCAUACUACAGAAGAAAAUGUUCUACUUAAACCAAUAGUCUGAAUUCAUAUUUGAAAUGUUUCCAUGUCAGUGUUGUCUGUCUGUACAGGCAGCCAACACUGGUGUGGAAACAUUGCUACACAUUAGUUGACAACUUAAGGAAAUAAAUUGGGCGAUAUUUAAACAUUAUAAUUUGAGGACCUAAGUAGUGUAAAUAGUUUUGUUUUAUCAGAAAAAUGUCCUUGGAAACUCUUGAACUUUUGUGGAGUGGUUGCGAUGACCCUUGAAUCUAGCUUGAAAAUACCCUUGAAAACUCUUGAAUUUUCUUUUUAAAAACUUGCAGGAACCCUGUUAAUUGUUUUUGAUGUUUGACAAAAAGGCUAUUAUUCUACAUUUUGCUUUACAUUUGAGCAUAUAGUUUAUCCUUUGCUCAUAGUGUAUUGAAAAUGACUUAAUUUUUAAAUUUUGAUUUGCAGUCAUUGGACUGAAAAUGGCCCUGGGCUGGGCAUAUGAUGAUAUUAAUAUUCACUUUGAGUACUGUUUUAGCCAGACUGUGGGGUGGGGGAGAGUGGUUGUACUAGCUUUGGUAGCUUCUGACAUAAAACAGUAGCGAACAUAUAUGAAUGUUUUUAUCUGUUUUCAAUUAGUCAAAUCCAUGUAAUUUAUGCUAGUAGAUUUUUGCCUUUGUGAAUAGUACGAGUAAAUGGAUGUGAGUGCAUUUGUUAUUCUCACACUAAGAACUACUUUUAAGUAACAUAAUUAAUUAAUUUCAGGGGCUGUUUGCAAGACUAUGCAAAAUGCAACAGAAGCAGUGGUUGAGUUGGUGACUUGAGAAUGGCUUCUGACUGCUAGUGACAGAAAUGGUGGCCAAAAGAAGAAAGAAAAAAAAUUUGGACAAGGCUCUUCUUGACAAUGAAUCUGCCACAGAUCUCAGGUCUGCACAAAUUGAAAAUUAAGAUAACCCAUUAAUGGGUUACCUUAAUUUUUUAAGGCAAUCCAUUUUAGCAAUGCACUUGUAACAAUAUGCUGAAUAGCUUUGCAUACAUGGCUUGGUCUUCCAUUCAAAUUACUCAUU
rnacentral:lncRNA from 1 species